UAUAAUAUAGUAGAUGGCAGACUCAUUGGCUAAAGAUGCUUCUUUGGAACCUUUACAGCCAGAUAUGCCUUUCACUUUCAAUAAGGUCUUUGCAGAAUGCAAAAAAAUGUUUAUGGACCUCAGGAGGAUUCCUCCUCCACGUAGUUGGUAUUUCAGAAAACGUCCUGGAGGUGCCUUGCUUUUUGAGGACCUAGAAACCAAUAGACUUUGUGUCUCUCGCUUGUUCAGGGGCGAAAGACUUUUCGACUUGGCACUUGUAGGAUUGCUCAGGCUUCGCCCGAGCAUAUUCUAAACUGUAUUGAUUUUAAGAUCCACGAGGGUUUUUCAAAACCUCAUCUGUUUUUGAACUUAUGGUUUUAGUCUAACUGGGAUGGACCUCUUGGGGAUCAGAAACAACAACAUUAUAAUGUAAAGAUAACUGAAAAGACAACCUCUAUGGGUCUGAUCGGGGGUAAUCAAAUCCCUGUAACUUAAGAGUAGAGAGCAGGAGUGGUAAUUACCAGGACGGCCGGGUCUCUACUUUAACAAAGCCACACUUACUUACACAUUCCUUUAACUCACCCCCCUGUUGCAAGUACUCCCAAACUGUAAAUAUUCAUUAGUGUUUAUUUUUCCAUUGUACUUCAAUUUUGCCUUUUUUCAUGUACUUUUUAUUACUUGUAAUUUUAUUAUUACCUAAUAAUAGCAAAAUGCCAUUUAUUUUCUCUCACGAACUCCAUUUUGCUCCCCAAACUUUAUUUUUUUCAUGUAUGUAUCUUAGUCUAAUUUCAGGAUGAAUGGGAAAAAUGGCCGUAAGGCCUCAGACUCCCAGUUCCACUACAACGAUCGAAUGGAACUGAAAGGAUUCCUGUUUUUAAGUUUUAGAAUGUGUAUACGAUACCUCAGGAUCGAUUCCGUGUUAUCGGAGUCCAUUAGGUGUUAAAAAAUGAACUUCAAAUUUAGUCAAACGGUAUUCUUAUUUUGCUCAAAUUUAUCUAAAUAUAUUGAAUGAAUUUAAAUAACAAAUAAAAACAAAUGACGAAACUCUGGGACUGGACAAGUUUUAAACAAUUUGUAAUAUUUUUUUUCAACUAUAGAAGGUAUGCUAAAACUCUAGCUUUGACAAUAUUUACUAUAAAAUUUUGAGUUAUAAAGACUUCAAAAUUAAAUUUUGGAUUGAAUCGAUUGAAAACGUAAAAAAAGAUGGCAGGGACUUAAUUGGCAAACAUAAAUGCACCAAAGAUUUGUACAAACGAACGAAAUGAAUGGGAGAGCGAAACGAAAUGAAUGGGAGAGCUGAAGAGGACUGGCUCAGGACAAUGGUGCCUGAAAAAAGAGAUUAGAGGCCUUAUGUGCCAGACGUCGCGAAGGGGAUAAGUAGAUAUGUCUGAACUGAAGCUCAAGCUUUAUUUAAUAUAGCAUAAUUUUUGGUACUUAAAUGAUUAUUAUCAUAUUUUUUCGUUUAUUGUGUUUAAAAGCUGGAAAAGUUGGCUCAUCUUCACUGGUAUUUUUCUUGAUAAUUGAUAUUUUUAAAGUGUCGACACGAUCCGGCACGAAAAUUAUAACUGUAUUUUUUUUUUCAGAAGUAAAUGGAGGAUCCGGAUCAGGCUUGGUUGAGACAAGAAAGGAGAUGGAAGGCAUGGAGGAAGUUUUUGCUGGAUAAGCAUUUGACCAAGUUUCAAGAAAAUAACAGGAUUAAAUCAAGAAACAAACAUUGUGUUUACGAUAUAAAAUAAAUGAUUUUUAUCUAUUUAAUAAAGAAUUUUUAUCUA